UAUACGACUYUCGGCAACGGAUAUCUCGGCUCUSGCAUCGAUGAAGAASGUAGCGAAAUGCGAUACUUGGUGUGAAUUGCAGAAUCCCGUGAACCAUCGAGUCUUUGAACGCAAGUUGCGCCCGAGSCCUUUCGGUUGAGGGCACGCCUGCYUGGGCGUCACGC
rnacentral:rRNA from 1 species